UCUUUCUUAGGCAGUUUAAUGUACUUACAAUGUAAAUUUCUAGUUUUAAUUACACAGGUUUCUGCUAACCAGAAAAAGCUUUAAAGACUAUUUCAGCUAACAGUCUUUCUGCCAGCAGCAGAAUCUCUAAUGAAAGAACUGCCAGUAAAAGAAAAGACUCCACAGUGAAGGAUCCAACGAAAGACAGACUUCUGGAAAUUGAAGAGGAGAAGUUGGUGAUAAUGAAGGAACACCUUAAGAUUGAGAGAAGAAAAGUGGACAUCUUGGAAGAUUACGUUAACUGGAGAAAGAAGAUGUACACAGAGGGCAUGGAGAAUACAUGUACACCAACUGUAUCUCCAAUAAUCAGAGGGCUUUUCACCUCAUAGGCUCAAGUGAGCUUUUCUGAUCACUUAUUCUCAGUCCGUCUGUUGAUUUAUGUAAUGGAUCACUGUCUAGUUAGGAUAGUGUGCCAAGGCAUCAACAAUAGUUGGAAACGUGGGAUAAUUUCAUGCAUAAACUGUAAUUGAUGUCCCUGACAUACUAUCCUAACUAGACAGUGAUCCCAUAUAUUUUCAUAUCAUUGUGAAAUAGAAUUUUACAUUCAUAUUUUAAAAAUUUCAAUUACACAAGGCCUCCCAUGUCAUUUUCAAUAGCCCUCACCCUCUGACUUCAAACACAAAGUCGUACAAGAUUUGUAAGCUCCUUAGCCCCUGACCUAUUAAUUUGCCUGGUAAUACACAUUCUGGUAGAAUUGUCAGGAGAUCAACUCCACUAAUUUUCAAAGAGUCAUGAUAUUUUUUCUGUAAGCUUAUGCACUUAUACAUAAAUCAAAGUUUUGCACUGAUACAGGACUCAAAGUUAUACAUUUUAUUGAUAAAUUG